CGACCUGGAGAGAAAGAUAUGAUCAGCAUUACACCAGCGAACACACGGGAGACAGACGACAAAAUCUGGUCAGAUUAAACGGCACUCGGCAUGGAUUAAAGGGACACACGAUCAAUAUCAAACAGCAGGUUUUAAGGAUCCCAAACUAAACGAAGUAAACGGACUACGUAGCGAAUAGGAAAACUUCAGAGCAGUCUUCCUGGGGCUGAUUAUUAAUCCAGGGAAAGAAAAAAAAGUUUAGAGGAGCUCUUCGCCCAGCCCACCGGCGCGGAGGCGGAUCAAAUGAAGGAGAAGUUCGCUAAUAUGAGAAUAAACGAUAAAGGGAAUAAAAGGAAUCGUGUGUAGAAGCCCGCAUGGAAAAUGCGCUUUUCCGUACUGCCGCCGUGUGUGGAGAUGCGUAAUUACCCCCAGGAGCCGAAGUGCGGGCGGCAUUUCCUCCUCUGUUCCAAGUUAACACAGCAACAAGCAUCUUAAAAGCAAACCUGUCUCUAUGGAGGUUAGUUAUAACGCCUGUUACAGAUAUAUCGAAUUAAAUUUAAAAAGAAUAUAGCAAUUAUAGCGAAUCAGAAUAAAAGGUUUGUCUGAAGUAAGCUUCUUUAUUCUCACCUAUUUAUAUGACUACAAAGGCAAUAAAAGAUGCUUUAAAACAAGACGCUAUUACUCUAUAUCCAAUGACGUGUACCCAGCGUAAUUAGGCUAAAUAAAUAAAAUAACUAGAAUAACUUCACAUUCGUUGCUGGAAUAAACAUUCGUGCAAAGUAUACUCUGGUCCUUUUUGUUACAAUGGCAUACCCCUCUGUUAUGGUCCCUUACGCUCAUUAUAACUGUAACAUGAACUGUUUGUUGUGGUUGUUGUUGUAAAAUUGUAAAUAAACCAUUUAUGACCUAA